GUAGGUGGCAAGCGUCGUCCGGAAUUAUUGGGCGUAAAGCGCGCGCAGGCGGUUCUUUAAGUCUGAUGUGAAAGCCCACGGGCUCAACCGUGGAGGGUCAUUGGAAACUGGAGAACUUGAGUACAGAAGAGGAAAGCGGAAUUCCACGUGUAGCGGUGAAAUGCGUAGAGAUGUGGAGGAACACCAGUGGCGAAGGCGGCUUUCUGGUCUGUAACUGACGCUGAGGCGCGAAAGCGUGGGGAGCAAACAGGAUUAGAUACCCUGGUAGUCCACGCCGUAAACGAUGAGUGCUAAGUGUUAGGGGGUUUCCGCCCCUUAGUGCUGCGGCUAACGCAUUAAGCACUCCGCCUGGGGAGUACGGCCGCAAAGGCUG
rnacentral:rRNA from 1 species